UUGGAUAGAAAUCAACUCAGGCCGGUAGCGCAACGCUGCUGGCAGGUGGCCCGCCACGCCGGCAGCGGGCCCCACAGGCAGAGCAUUUUCUGCCCGGUCCCACCAAGGGGCCAACGGGACAUAACAGUCAAC
rfam:Pseudomonas alcaligenes NBRC 14159 DNA, contig: PA6006.